CUACCACUCUGGCCUUUUGGCUUAGAUCAAGUGUAGUAUCUGUUCUUAAUAGUUUAACCACUAUUAUGGAGGCACCGCCUCCAUUCCUGGUUAUAUCAUUUUUGCCGCCCCAGUUCCCCGGGCUCUGCUUGCACCCUGGGGACGCGAUGACCUUGCCACUGCACUGCCGGCCUGUGUCGUCAGGGGAU
rnacentral:snRNA from 1 species